rnacentral:rRNA from 1 species
CCUACGGGAGGUAGCAGUGGGGAAUAUUGCACAAUGGGGGGAACGCUGAUGCAGCGACGCCGCGUGGGGGAGGAAGUACUUCGGCAUGUAAAGCCCUAUCAGCAGGGAAGAAAAUGACGGUACCUGACUAAGAAGCACCGUCUAACUACGUGCCAGCAGCCGCGGGAAUACGUAGGGGGCAAGCAUUAUCCGGAUUCACUGGGCGUAAAGGGAGCGUAGACGGCGUGCCAAGUCUGGUGUGAAAGGCUCGGGCUUCACCCCGGGACUGCAUUGGAAACUGGCAUGCUGGAGUGCCGGAGGGGCAAGCGGAAUUCGUAGUGUAGCGGUGAAAUGCGUAGAUAUUAGGAGGAACACCGGUGGCGAAGGCGGCUUGCUGGACGGUAACUGACGUUGAGGCUCGAAAGCGUGGGGAGCAAACAGGAUUAGAUACCCUAGUAGUC